UACGGGGGGGGGCAAGCGUUGUUCGGAAUUACUGGGCGUAAAGGGCUCGUAGGUGGCCAACUAAGUCAGACGUGAAAUCCCUCGGCUUAACCGGGGAACUGCGUCUGAUACUGGAUGGCUUGAGUUCGGGAGAGGGAUGCGGAAUUCCAGGUGUAGCGGUGAAAUGCGUAGAUAUCUGGAGGAACACCGGUGGCGAAGGCGGCAUCCUGGACCAACACUGACGCUGAGUGAGCGAAAGCCAGGGGAGCAAACGGG
rnacentral:rRNA from 1 species